ncrna:unclassified sequences GEBRO RNA
AGUCAACUUUUUCUCAGAGAAGUUUUUUUGAAGGCUAGCAUGAAUAUUUUAUUUGAGAUAGCGCACUCCAUCCCUUCAAGAGAAGGGAGACCCAAGCGCUCGCAGAUCGUCGACGGUUCAGAUGAGACGAUAGGCGAAAGUAGGUAAAGAGACACCCCAAGACCUUCAUAAUGAGCCCCUCUAAAGGGUUCGGGCUAAGUCCGUUUAGGAUAUGUCACAACGGGGCAAGGUUGGCUGAUAGCGACACGUAGAGGACACGGAUAAGACCUGAAAAGGUAGCAAGUAGGGCGUGCAGACGCUUGUAAAAAGUCCGUUUGAGAUUUGCAAUAGUCUCAGAGUAAUCUGAACC